GUGGUGGUGGCUCAGUGGUAGAGCACCUGCCUGGCCUGUGCGAGGCACUGGGUUCGAUUCUCAGCACCACA
rfam:Ictidomys tridecemlineatus contig079843, whole genome shotgun sequence.